rnacentral:rRNA from 1 species
GAUGAACGCUGGCGGCGUGCCUAAUACAUGCAAGUCGAGCGAACAGACGAGGAGCUUGCUCCUCUGACGUUAGCGGCGGACGGGUGAGUAACACGUGGAUAACCUACCUAUAAGACUGGGAUAACUUCGGGAAACCGGAGCUAAUACCGGAUAAUAUAUUGAACCGCAUGGUUCAAUAGUGAAAGACGGUUUUGCUGUCACUUAUAGAUGGAUCCGCGCCGUAUUAGCUGGUUGGUAAGGUAACGGGUUACCAAGGCAACGAUGCGUAGCCGACGUGAGAGAGGGGUAGGCCACCUUGGAACGGAGACAGCGACCAGACUCCUAAGGGAGGGAGCAGUAGGCAACGUGACGCAAUGGGCGAAAGCCUGACGGAGCAGCGCCGCGUGAGUGAUGAAGGUCUUGGGAUCGUAAAAAUCUGUUAUUAGGGAAGAACAAAUGUGUAAGUAACUAUGCACGUCUUGACGGUACCUAAUCAGAAAGCCACGGCUAACUACGUG